UGAAACCGCGUCGCUAGAUGUGGUGGAGUCGUCCUUGAAAUACCACCCUUGUAGUUUUGAUGUUCUAACGUUGGUCCCUGAAUCGGGAUUACGGACAGUGCCUGGUGGGUAGUUUGACUGGGGCGGUCUCCUCCCAAAGAGUAACGGAGGAGCACGAAGGUGGGCUAAACACGGUUGGACAUCGUGUGGUUAGUGCAAUGGCAUAAGCCCGCUUGACUGCGAGAAUGACAAUUCGAGCAGGUGCGAAAGCAGGUCAUAGUGAUCCGGUGGUUCUGAAUGGAAGGGCCAUCGCUCAACGGAUAAAAGGUACUCCGGGGAUAACAGGCUGAUACCGCCCAAGAGUUCAUAUCGACGGCGGUGUUUGGCACCUCGAUGUCGGCUCAUCACAUCCUGGGGCUGAAGUCGGUCCCAAGGGUAUGGCUGUUCGCCAUUUAAAGUGGUACGCGAGCUGGGUUUAGAACGUCGUGAGACAGUUCGGUCCCUAUCUGCCGUGGGCGUUGGAAAAUUGAAAGGGGCUGCUCCUAGUACGAGAGGACCGGAGUGGACGAACCUCUGGUGUUCGGGUUGUCAUGCCAAUGGCAUUGCCCGGUAGCUAAGUUCGGAAUCGAUAACCGCUGAAAGCAUCUAAGCGGGAAGCGAGCCUUGAGAUGAGUUUUCCCUGGCGCUAUAAGCGUCCUAAAGGGUUGUCGUAGACUACGACGUUGAUAGGCAGGGUGUGUAAGUGCUGCGAGGCAUUGAGCUAACCUGUACUAAUUGCCCGUGAGGCUUAACCAU
rnacentral:rRNA from 1 species